rnacentral:rRNA from 1 species
CUUUUUGCUAUCAAAGAGCGACGGGCGAUAUGUGCAUAAAAAAUUACAUUUUCAAGAAAAGUUUUUUUUUUUAUUUUAUUUACAAGUUCUAUUUCCUUUAUGGUUUUCUUGUAUGUUCUAUAUUUUUUUUAAAAAUGUGCCCCAUUUCUACGAAUUUAUAAUCUUUGUAUUGAUUUGUUUUACUAUUUAAACUAUUUUUAAAGGCAAGUUUUUGAACUUUCUUUUAAAACAAUGAUAUAAAAGAUCAAAAUAUUUGUACAUUUAAACGUGGGUUAUCGAUUAAAGUACAGGACCCCCUGUUAUGAUUUUUUACCGCCAUAUUUUUUAGGUUUCUUUUAUUUACAUACUACCUUCUCUGUUAUAGGA